rnacentral:rRNA from 1 species
AACGAACGCUGGCGGCAGGCUUAACACAUGCAAGUCGAACGGGCGUAGUAAUACGUCAGUGGCAGACGGGUGAGUAACACGUGGGAACCUUCCUAGGGGUACGGAACAACUCAGGGAAACUUGAGCUAAUACCGUAUACGUCCGUGAGGAGAAAGAUUUAUCGCCCUUAGACGGGCCCGCGUCGGAUUAGCUAGUUGGUGGGUAACGGCCUACCAAGGCGACGAUCCGUAGCUGAUCUGAGAGGAUGAUCAGCCACACUGGGACUGAGACACGGCCCAGACUCCUACGGGAGGCAGCAGUGGGGAAUCUUGGACAAUGGGCGCAAGCCUGAUCCAGCCAUGCCGCGUGAGUGAAGAAGGCCUCGGUGUAAGACUUUUUGUUCUAGGGACGGAAGUAAUAG